rnacentral:rRNA from 1 species
UACAGAGGUCUCGAGCGUUGUUCGGAUUCAUUGGGCGUAAAGGGUGCGUAGGCGGUGUGUCACGUCGGCCGUGAAAACCUGCAGCUUAACUGUGGGCGUGCGGUCGAUACGGGCAUCACUGGAGUUCGGCAGGGGAGACUGGAAUUCCUGGUGUAGCGGUGAAAUGCGCAGAUAUCAGGAGGAACACCGGUGGCGAAGGCGGGUCUCUGGGCCGAUACUGACGCUGAGGAGCGAAAGCGUGGGGAGCAAACAGG